GGUUAAGCGACUAAGCGUACACGGUGGAUGCCCCCGGCAGUCAGAGGCGAUGAAGGACGUGCUAAUCUGCGAAAAGCGUCGGUAAGGUGAUAUGAACCGUUAUAACCGGCGAUGUCCGAAUGGGGAAACCCAGUGCAAUUCGUUGCACUAUCGUUAACUGAAUACAUAGGUUAACGAGGCGAACCGGGGGAACUGAAACAUCUAAGUACCCCGAGGAAAAGAAAUCAACCGAGAUUCCCCCAGUAGCGGCGAGCGAACGGGGAGCAGCCCAGAGUCUGAAUCAGCUUGUGUGUUAGUGGAACGGUCUGGAAAGUCCGACGGUACAGGGUGAUAGUCCCGUACACCAAAAUGCACAGGUUGUGAACUCGAAGAGUAGGGCGGGACACGUGGUAUCCUGUCUGAAUAUGGGGGGACCAUCCUCCAAGGCUAAAUACUCCUGACUGACCGAUAGUGAACCAGUACCGUGAGGGAAAGGCGAAAAGAACCCCGGCGAGGGGAGUGAAAAAGAACCUGAAACCGUGUACGUACAAGCAGUGGGAGCACCUUCGGGUGUGACUGCGUACCUUUGUAUAAUGGGUCAGCGACUUAUAUUCUGUAGCAAGGUUAACCGUAUAGGGGAGCCGCAGGGAAACCGAGUCUUAACUGGGCGUUAAGUUGCAGGGUAUAGACCCGAAACCCGGUGAUCUAGCCAUGGGCAGGUUGAAGGUUGGGUAACACUAACUGGAGGACCGAACCGACUAAUGUUGAAAAAUUAGCGGAUGACUUGUGGCUGGGGGUGAAAGGCCAAUCAAACCGGGAGAUAGCUGGUUCUCCCCGAAAGCUAUUUAGGUAGCGCCUCGUGAACUCAUCUUCGGGGGGUAGAGCACUGUUUCGGCUAGGGGGUCAUCCCGACUUACCAACCCGAUGCAAACUACGAAUACCGAAGAAUGUUAUCACGGGAGACACACGGCGGGUGCUAACGUCCGUCGUGAAGAGGGAAACAACCCAGACCGCCAGCUAAGGUCCCAAAGUCAUGGUUAAGUGGGAAACGAUGUGGGAAGGCACAGACAGCCGGGGAUGUUGGCUUAGAAGCAGCCAUCAUUUAAAGAAAGCGUAAUAGCUCACUGGUCGAGUCGGCCUGCGCGGAAGAUGUAACGGGGCUAAACCAUGCACCGAAGCUGCGGCAGCGACACUAUGUGUUGUUGGGUAGGGGAGCGUUCUGUAAGCCUGCGAAGGUGUGCUGUGAGGCAUGCUGGAGGUAUCAGAAGUGCGAAUGCUGACAUAAGUAACGAUAAAGCGGGUGAAAAGCCCGCUCGCCGGAAGACCAAGGGUUCCUGUCCAACGUUAAUCGGGGCAGGGUGAGUCGACCCCUAAGGCGAGGCCGAAAGGCGUAGUCGAUGGGAAACAGGUUAAUAUUCCUGUACUUGGUGUUACUGCGAAGGGGGGGACGGAGAAGGCUAUGUUAGCCGGGCGACGGUUGUCCCGGUUUAAGCAUGUAGGCUGAUUGUCCGAGGCAAAUCCGGAUAAUCAAGGCUGAGGUGUGAUGACGAGGCACUACGGUGCUGAAGUAACAAAUGCCCUGCUUCCGAGGAAAAGCCUCUAAGCAUCAGGUAACAUUAAAUCGUACCCCAAACCGACACAGGUGGUCAGGUAGAGAAUACCAAGGCGCUUGAGAGAACUCGGGUGAAGGAACUAGGCAAAAUGGUGCCGUAACUUCGGGAGAAGGCACGCUGGUGUGUAGGUGAAGUCCCUGCGGAUGGAGCUGAGACCAGUCGAAGAUACCAGCUGGCUGCAACUGUUUAUUAAAAACACAGCACUGUGCAAACACGAAAGUGGACGUAUACGGUGUGACGCCUGCCCGGUGCCGGAAGGUUAAUUGAUGGGGUUAUCCGUAAGGAGAAGCUCUUGAUCGAAGCCCCGGUAAACGGCGGCCGUAACUAUAACGGUCCUAAGGUAGCGAAAUUCCUUGUCGGGUAAGUUCCGACCUGCACGAAUGGCGUAAUGAUGGCCGGGCUGUCUCCACCCGAGACUCAGUGAAAUUGAACUCGCUGUGAAGAUGCAGUGUACCCGCGGCAAGACGGAAAGACCCCGUGAACCUUUACUAUAGCUUGACACUGAACAUUGAGCCUUGAUGUGUAGGAUAGGUGGGAGGCUUUGAAGCGUGGACGCCAGUCUGCGUGGAGCCAACCUUGAAAUACCACCCUUUAAUGUUUGAUGUUCUAACGUUGGCCCCUGACCGGGGUUGCGGACAGUGUCUGGUGGGUAGUUUGACUGGGGCGGUCUCCUCCCAAAGCGUAACGGAGGAGCACGAAGGUUAGCUAAUCCCCGGUCGGACAUCAGGAGGUUAGUGCAAUGGCAUAAGCUAGCUUGACUGCGAGCGUGACGGCGCGAGCAGGUGCGAAAAGCAGGUCAUAGUGAUCCGGUGGUUCUGAAUGGAAGGGCCAUCGCUCAACGGAUAAAAGGUACUCCGGGGAUAACAGGCUGAUACCGCCCAAGAGUUCAUAUCGACGGCGGUGUUUGGCACCUCGAUGUCGGCUCAUCACAUCCCUCGGGGCUGAAGUAGGUCCCAAGGGUAUGGCUGUUCGCCAUUUAAAGUGGUACGCGAGCUGGGUUUAGAACGUCGUGAGACAGUUCGGUCCCUAUCUGCCGUGGGCGCUGGAGAAUUGAGGGGGGCUGCUCCUAGUACGAGAGGACCGGAGUGGACGCAUCACUGGUGUUCGGGUUGUCAUGCCAAUGGCACUGCCCGGUAGCUAAAUGCGGAAGAGAUAAGUGCUGAAAGCAUCUAAGCACGAAACUUGCCCCGAGAUGAGUUCUCCCUGAGACUUUAAGUCUCCUGAAGGAACGUUGAAGACGACGACGUUGAUAGGCCGGGUGUGUAAGCGCAGCGAUGCGUUGAGCUAACCGGUACUAAUGAACCGUGAGGCUUAACCUU
rnacentral:rRNA from 1 species